UACGGAGGGUGCAAGCGUUGUCCGGAUUCAUUGGGUUUAAAGGGUGCGUAGGCGGCUUAUUAAGUCAGUGGUGAAAGCCGGCGGCUCAACCGAGGAACUGCCUUUGAAACUGCCUGGCUUGAGGCCGGGAGAGGGUAGUGGAAUUCCCAGUGUAGCGGUGAAAUGCGUAGAGAUUGGGAGGAACACCGGUGGCGAAGGCGGCUACCUGGACCGGUGCUGACGAUGAGGCGCGAAAGAGUGGGGAGCAAACAGG
rnacentral:rRNA from 1 species